CCUACGGGUGGCAGCAGUGGGGAAUAUUGGGCAAUGGGCGCAAGCCUGACCCAGCAACGCCGCGUGCAGGAAGAAGGCUUUCGGGUUGUAAACUUCUUUUCUCAGGGACGAAGCAAGUGACGGUACCUGAGGAAUAAGCCACGGCUAACUACGUGCCAGCAGCCGCGGUAAUACGUAGGUGGAAAGCGUUAUGCGGAUUUACUGGGUGUAAAGGGCGUGUAGGGGGGAAAUCAAGUCAGAUGUGAAAACCAUGGGCUCAACCUGUGGCCUGUAUUUGAAACUGUUUAUCUCGAGUACUUGAGAGGCAGAUGGAAUUUCUAGUGUAGGGGUGAAAUGCGUAGAUAUUAGGAGGAACACCAGUGGCGAAGGCAGGCUGCUGGACAGCAACUGACGCUGAGGCGCGAAAGCGUAGGGAGCAAACAGGAUUAGAUACCCCUGUAGUC
rnacentral:rRNA from 1 species